GAUGAACGCUGGCGGCGUGCCUAAUACAUGCAAGUCGAGCGAACAGAUAAGGGGCUUGCUCCUUUGACGUUAGCGGCGGACGGGUGAGUAACACGUGGGUAACCUACCUAUAAGACUGGGAUAACUUCGGGAAACCGGAGCUAAUACCGGAUAAUAUUUCGAACCGCAUGGUUCGAUAGUGAAAGAUGGUUUUGCUAUCACUUAUAGAUGGACCCGCGCCGUAUUAGCUAGUUGGUGAGGUAACGGCUUACCAAGGCGACGAUACGUAGCCGACCUGAGAGGGUGAUCGGCCACACUGGAACUGAGACACGGUCCAGACUCCUACGGGAGGCAGCAGUAGGGAAUCUUCCGCAAUGGGCGAAAGCCUGACGGAGCAACGCCGCGUGAGUGAUGAAGGUCUUCGGAUCGUAAAACUCUGUUAUUAGGGAAGAACAUACGUGUAAGUAACUGUGCACGUCUUGACGGUACCUAAUCAGAAAGCCACGGCUAACUACGUG
rnacentral:rRNA from 1 species